rnacentral:tRNA from 1 species
AAAGCUCUAGCUUAAUUAAAGCGCCUGUUUUGCAUGCAGGAGAUGUGAGUUAAAGCCUUGCGAGUUUUAA